AUACGUAGGGGGCAAGCGUUAUCCGGAUUUACUGGGUGUAAAGGGAGCGUAGACGGAAGGCCAAGUCUGAUGUGAAAGCCCGCGGCUCAACUGCGGGACUGCAUUGGAAACUGGUCAUCUGGAGUGCAGGAGGGGUAAGCGGAAUUCCUAGUGUAGCGGUGAAAUGCGUAGAUAUUAGGAGGAACACCGGUGGCGAAGGCGUCUUACUGGACUGUAACGGACGUUGAGGCUCGAAAGCGUGGGGAGCAAACAGGAUUAGAUUCCCUGUUAGUCCACGCCGUAAACGAUGAAUACUAGGUGUCGGGUUUCUAUAGAGAUUCGGUGCCGCAGCAAACGCAAUAAGUAUUCCACCUGGGGAGUACGUUCGCAAGAAUGAAACUCAAAGGAAUUGACGGGG
rnacentral:rRNA from 1 species